GAUGAACGCUGGCGGCGUGCCUAAUACAUGCAAGUCGAGCGAACAGACGAGGAGCUUGCUCCUCUGACGUUAGCGGAGGACGUGUGAGUAACACGUGGAUAACCUACCUAUCAGACUGGGAUCACUUCGGGAAACCGGAGCUAAUACCGGAUAAUAUAUUGAACCGCGUGGUUCAAUGGUAAAAGACGGUUUUGCUGUCACUUAUAGCUGGAUCCGCGCCGCAUUAGGUAGUUGGUAAGGUAACGGCUUACCACGGCAACGAUGCUUAGCCGGCCUAAGAGGGUGAUCGGCCAUGCUGGAGUUAACGGCCGGACCGGGACUCAACGACGGGCAGCAGUCGUAAGUGAGCCACCAGGGGCGAAUGCCUGACGGUGCAACGCCGCGUGAGGGAGGAAGGUCGCCUGAUCGAAAAACGCUGUCAGUAGGGAAGACCAAAUGGGUAGGUAACUAGGGACAGCGUGGCGGUUCGGUAUCAGAAAGCCGCGUCGAACUACG
rnacentral:rRNA from 1 species